UAAUCUUAAGAGUUUUUAAGGGCUGAGGUUGCAAGAGUCUUAAGUAAGGGCCGGGAGCUUUGUCAGAGCUCACGGCUUCCUUUGCCUUGUAAAACUGCUAUCUCCAUCCAUCUCUGUUUAUUUUUCUCCUGCUUUUUAAUUUGCCUAAUGGACUUCAGCUGAAGACUUCCCUCAACGUCUGAGGAAAGUCAAGUCUAAUAAAGCCCUGAGGACUUAGCUGGCUGAGUUCAGCACUUUUGGAUGAUUUUGUCUGACUUUCAUCUUUGUUGCUGCUGAGUGGGUGUCUGUGGAGCACCCUGGACCUGGCUGGGAGGACCUGGAGCCUGGGAAGCUGACACUGAUCAGCUAAAAACCUGAACAAACAAGCAAAUGAAGAAACACCACCCCUCCUCCCCCAACCCCAAAGUCACCCUGACUUGACUUGAUCUGUCCCAGAUGUAAGGAGUGGAUACAAGACCCUGCUCAUAGCUGUGGAGGUCUGGUCUCCAUGGGGAGCUGGAAUGGAAUGGGCAUCUUUCCCGGAAGCCAUGAUGUCUGAGAUAAGAAGAGAGCAUUUCAGCUGAAUUUUUCUUAGCUUCCGGUACAGUGUCCUUAUUUGCUUUAAAAAAAAAAAAAAACCCAAUGUAUCCUUUAUUUGAAAUGUUGUUUAUUAAAUGCACUAGAUUUCUUCAUGCAUCUCUUUCCUGUGUGACUCAGAGAAACUGAAAU